rnacentral:rRNA from 1 species
AUUGAACGCUGGCGGCAGGCCUAACACAUGCAAGUCGAACGAGUGGCGGACGGGUGAGUAAUGGCUGGGAAACUGCCUGAUGGAGGGGGAUCACUACUGGAAACGGUAGCUAAUACCGCAUACCAUCGGAUGUGCCCAGACGGGAGUAGCCAGCAGGUGGGGUAACGGCUCACCUAGGCGACGAUCCCCAGCUGGUCUGAGAGGAUGACCAGCCACCCUGGAACAGGUACACGGUCCAGACUCCUACGGUAGGCAGCAGUGGGGAAUAUUGCGCAAUGGGCAAAAGCCUGAUGCAGCUAUGCCGCGUGUAUGAAGAAGGCCUUCGGGUUGUAAAGUACUUUAAGCGAGGAGGCGUUACUCGCAGAAAAAGCACCGGCUAACUCCGUGCCAGCAGCCGCGGUAAUUC